rnacentral:rRNA from 1 species
GACGAACGCUGGCGGCGUGCUUAACACAUGCAAGUCGAACGAAGUGGCGAACGGGUGAGUAACGCGUAAUAAACCUGCCCUUCAGGGGGGAACAACAGUUGGAAACGACUGCUAAUACCGCAUACUGAAGGAGAGGAUUGCGUCUGAAUAGCUAGUGGGAGGGGUAACGGCCCACCAAGGCGAUGAUCGGUAGCCUGUCUUAAGGGAUGAACGGCCAAAUUGGGAACGAGAAAAGGCCCAAACUCCUACGGGAGGCAGCAAGGGGGAAUCUUCCGAAAUGGACGAAAGUCUGACGGAGCAAAGCCGCGGGAGUGAUGGAGGCCUUCGGGGUGUAAAGCUCUGUUAAUCGGGACGCGGUACCGGAAUAGAAAGCCACGGCUAACUACGUGCCAGCAGCCGCGGUAAUAC